rnacentral:rRNA from 1 species
AUGAAAAUAUUGAGCUGGAAUUGCCGGGGGUUAGGAUCGCCCUCGGCAAUUCGAUCGCUGCUAGAACUUCAACGGCAGCAUGAUCCAGAUGUCCUUUUCCUCUCGGAGACACACCUGGAUGAGUCAAGCGGGGAAAGGUUGCGAGUUAAGCUAGGGUACGAUAGUAAAUUUGUUUCUCCCAGCAAUGGUAGAAGCGGAGGGUUGAUGAUG